GAUGAAGAACGUAGCGAAAUGCGAUACUUGGUGUGAAUUGCAGAAUCCCGUGAACCAUCGAGUCUUUGAACGCAAGUUGCGCCUCAAGGCAUUAGGUUGAGGGCACGUCUGCCUGGGCGUCACAUAUCGUUGCCUGAUGCCAGUUUCCUCGUGAUGGGUGACUGUGCAGGGCGAAUGAUGGCUUCCCGUGAGCAUUGUUGCCUCAUGGUUGGUUGAAAAUUGAGUCCUUGGUAGGGAGCGCCGUGAUAGAUGGUGGUUGAGUGACGAACGAGACCCAAUCAUGUGAGACCCCUACCGAAUUUGGCCUUCAUGACCCACAUGCGUCUUUGGAACGCUCAUGACGAGACCUCAGGUCAGGCGGGGCUACCCGCUGAGUUUAAGCAUAUCAAUAAGCGGAGGA
rnacentral:misc_RNA from 1 species